AACGAGCGCUGGCGGCAUGCCUAACACAUGCAAGUCGAACGAGACCUUCGGGUCUAGUGGCGCACGGGUGCGUAACGCGUGGGAAUCUGCCCUUGGGUUCGGAAUAACAGUUGGAAACGACUGCUAAUACCGGAUGAUGACGUAAGUCCAAAGAUUUAUCGCCCAAGGAUGAGCCCGCGUAGGAUUAGCUAGUUGGUGAGGUAAAGGCUCACCAAGGCGACGAUCCUUAGCUGGUCUGAGAGGAUGAGCAGCCACACUGGGACUGAGACACGGCCCAGACUCCUACGGGAGGCAGCAGUGGGGAAUAUUGGACAAUGGGCGAAAGGCUGAUCCAGCAAUGCCGCGUGAGUGAUGAAGGCCUUAGGGUUGUAAAGCUCUUUUACCCGGGAUGAUAAUGACGGUACCGGGAGAAUAAGCACCGGCUAACUCCGUG
rnacentral:rRNA from 1 species